ACUCCUGCGGGAGGCAGCAGUGGGGAAUAUUGGACAAUGGGCGCAAGCCUGAUCCAGCCAUGCCGCGUGAGUGAUGAAGGCCCUAGGGUUGUAAAGCUCUUUCACCGGUGAAGAUAAUGACGGUAACCGGAGAAGAAGCCCCGGCUAACUUCGUGCCAGCAGCCGCGGUAAUACGAAGGGGGCUAGCGUUGUUCGGAUUUACUGGGCGUAAAGCGCACGUAGGCGGACUAUUAAGUCAGGGGUGAAAUCCCGGGGCUCAACCCCGGAACUGCCUUUGAUACUGGUAGUCUUGAGUUCGAGAGAGGUGAGUGGAAUUCCGAGUGUAGAGGUGAAAUUCGUAGAUAUUCGGAGGAACACCAGUGGCGAAGGCGGCUCACUGGCUCGAUACUGACGCUGAGGUGCGAAAGCGUGGGGAGCAAACAGGAUUAGAAACCCCUGUAGUUCCCA
rnacentral:rRNA from 1 species